rnacentral:rRNA from 1 species
AUUGAACGCUGGCGGCAUGCUUUACACAUGCAAGUCGAACGGUAACGCGGGGGCAACCCUGNNCGACGAGUGGCGAACGGGUGAGUAAUACAUCGGAACAUGUCCUGGAGUGGGGGAUAGCUCGGCGAAAGCNGGAUUAAUACCGCAUACGCUCUGAGGAGGAAAGCGGGGGACCGUAAGGCCUCGCGCUGCGGGAGUGGCCGAUGUCGGAUUAGCUAGUAGGUAGGGUAAAGGCCUACCUAGGCGACGAUCCGUAGCUGGUCUGAGAGGAUGAUCAGCCACACUGGGACUGAGACACGGCCCAGACUCCUACGGGAGGCAGCAGUGGGGAAUUUUGGACAAUGGGGGCAACCCUGAUCCAGCCAUGCCGCGUGAGUGAAGAAGGCCUUCGGGUUGUAAAGCUCUUUCGGACGGGACGAAAUGGUUACGGAUAAUAACUGUGACAGAUGACGGUACCGUAAUAAGAAGCACCGGCUAACUACGUGCCAGCAGCCGCGGUAAUACGUAGGGUGCGAGCGUUAUUCGGAAUUACUGGGCGUAAAGCGUGCGCAGGCGGUUCGCCAAGUCAGGUGUGAAAUCCCCGGGCUUAACCUGGGAAUUGCGCUUGAAACUAGCGGGCUUGAGUGUGGCAGAGGGGGGUGGAAUUCCACGUGUAGCAGUGAAAUGCGUAGAGAUGUGGAGGAACACCGAUGGCGAAGGCAGCCCCCUGGGUCAACACUGACGCUCAUGCACGAAAGCGUGGGGAGCAAACAGGNUUAGAUACCCUGGUAGUCCACGCCCUAAACGAUGUCG